GGCCUACAGCUCAGCAGCAGAGCACCUGCUUUGAAUGCAGAAGGUCCCAGGUUCAAUCCCAGGUCUUUCUAGGUAAGGCU